rnacentral:rRNA from 1 species
GUAGGGAAUUUUCGGCAAUGGGGGAAACCCUGACCGAGCAACGCCGCGUGAGUGAUGAAAGUCUUCGGAUUGUAAAGCUCUGUUUUAAGGGAAGAACGUCCCGGAUAGUCUCCGGGAGUGACGGUACCUUAUCAGAAAGCUACGGCUAACUACAUGCCAGCAGCCGCGGUAAUACGUAGGUAGCGAGCGUUAUCCGGAAUUAUUGGGCGUAAAGGGUGCGUAGGCGGCUUGUUAAGUUUAAGGUGAAAGCGUGGGGCUCAACCCCAUAAAGCCUUAGAUACUGACGAGCUAGAGUACUGGAGAGGGUAGUGGAAUUCCAUGUGUAGCGGUAAAAUGCGUAGAUAUAUGGAGGAACACCGGUGGCGAAGGCGGCUACCUAGACAGAGACUGACGCUGAUGCACGAAAGCGUGGGGAGCAAAUAGGAUUAGAAACCCGUGUAGUCC